rnacentral:rRNA from 1 species
UGGGGAAUAUUGGACAAUGGGGGGAACCCUGAUCCAGCCAUGCCGCGUGUGUGAAGAAGGCCUUAUGGUUGUAAAGCACUUUAAGCGAGGAGGAGGGUACUGGUAUUAAUACUACCAGGUACUGGACGUUACUCGCAGAAUAAGCACCGGCCAACUCUGUGCCAGCAGCCGCGGUAAUACAGAGGGUGCGAGCGUUAAUCGGAUUUACUGGGCGUAAAGCGUGCGUAGGCGGCUAAUUGAGUCGGAUGUGAAAUCCCCGAGCUUAACUUGGAAAUUGCAUUCGAUACUGGUUAGAUAGAGUGUGGGAGAGGAUGGUAGAAUUCCAGGUGUAGCGGUGAAAUGCGUAGAGAUCUGGAGGAAUACCGAUGGCGAAGGCAGCCAUCUGGCCUAACACUGACGCUGAGGUACGAAAGCAUGGGGAGCAAACAGG